rnacentral:tRNA from 1 species
GCGGGUGUAGUUUAGUGGUAAAACCUCAGCCUUCCAAGCUGAUGUCGAGGGUUCGAUUCCCUCUACCCGCUCCA